AUAUCUCAGGUGAAGAAGCAACUAGAGAGAUCCACCAAGAACAAGAGAUAAAGGGUGAAGAAAUUCUAGCAGAUAAGGUGUUAGCAGAAGAAAUGCAAACUGAAGUGUUAUGCAAGGAAAUUGUGAAAACCGAUGCAAGUGAGACCAUUCACAAGCAGAUCAGUCCAGAAAAAGGGACAGUUGAGAACCUUCAUGAAGCUGUUGUUUACAAUAUCUUAAGCGAAGAAGCAACUGAAGAGAUCCACCGAGAACAUGAGAUCAAGGGUGAAGAAAGUAUAGGAGAUGAGGUGUCGACAAAGGCAACACAAAAUAAAGCAUUAUGCAAGGAAAUUGAAAAGACAAAUGCAAAUGAGACAACUGAAAAACAGAUUAGCAUAGAAAAAGCAACUGUUGAG
rnacentral:misc_RNA from 1 species